rnacentral:rRNA from 1 species
AUGGCUCUCGUCCGGCAGCGCCGCCAGCUACCCCACCUCACCCUCCCGCUCGACCACUUCGCCCUGCGCGCCCCGCCGCCGCCGCCCCCCGCCGUCGCGCCGUGCGAGGGCCUCGCCCGCCUCUCCGACUACGAGAGGAUCUCCCAGCUCGGCCAGGGCAACGGCGGCACCGUCUUCAAGGCGCGCCACCGCCGCACCGCGCAGCAGGUCGCGCUCAAGCUCUUCGCCGCGGGGGACGGGGAUCCCUCCGCGGCCCGCGAGGCCGAGAUACUCAUGCUCGCCUCGGGCGCGCCGCACGUCGUGCGCCUCCACGCCGUCAUCCCGUCGCCCGCGGCGGAGCAGCCGGCGGCGCUGGCGCUCGAGCUCGUGUCGGGGGGCUCCCUCGCGGGCCUCCUCCGCGCGCUGGGCCGGCCCAUGGGGGAGCGCCCCAUCGCCGCCGUGGCGCGGCAGGCGCUGCUGGGGCUCGCGGCCCUGCACGCGCUCCGCGUCGUGCACCGCGACCUCAAGCCCGCGAACCUGCUGGUCGGCGCGGGCGGCGAGGUGAAGAUCGCCGACUUCGGCGCCGGCAAGGUCCUGCGGCGGCGGCUGGACCCCUGCGCGUCCUACGUCGGCACGGCCGCCUACAUGUCCCCGGAGCGGUUCGACCCGGAGACCUACUCCGGCGACUACGACCCGUACGCGGCGGACGUGUGGAGCCUCGGUAUGGCGAUCCUGGAGUUGUACCUGGGCCACUUCCCGCUCCUCCCCGCGGGGCAGCGCCCGGACUGGGCCGCGCUCAUGUGCGCCAUCUGCUUCGGCGAGGCGCCCGAGGCCCCCGCCGCGGCGUCGGACGAGUUCCGGGACUUCGUGGCCCGGUGCCUGGAGAAGAAGGCCGGGCGGCGCGCGUCCGUGGCGGAGCUGCUCGGGCACCCCUUCAUCGCGGAGCGCGACGCGGAGGAGGCGCAGCGCUGCCUCGCCGCGCUGGUGGCGGAGGCGGCGGAGCUGGGCGACCAGUAG